AUUAUCAAUGGUAAUAUAAAUAGUAGCAUGCAACCUGUUAUUCUUCUUUACCCAGAUUAUAUUUACAGAAGAGAAGAGUUUUCAAUCACUCAGG
rnacentral:lncRNA from 1 species